UCAUUGGUGGUUCAGUAGUAGAAUUCUUGCCUUCUAUGCAGGAGACUUAGGUUCGAUUUCUGAUCAGUACA
rnacentral:tRNA from 1 species